rnacentral:rRNA from 1 species
UACAGGGGGGGGCAAGCGUUGUUCGGAAUUACUGGGCGUAAAGGGCUCGUAGGUGGCCAACUAAGUCAGACGUGAAAUCCCUCAGCUUAACUGGGGAACUGCGUCUGAUACUGGAUGGCUUGAGUUUGGGAGAGGGAUGCGGAAUUCCAGGUGUAGCGGUGAAAUGCGUAGAUAUCAGGAAGAACACCUAUGGCGAAGGCAGCUCUCUGGGACGGUACUGACGCUGAGACGCGAAAGCGUGGGGAGCGAACAGG